AUUGAACGCUGGCGGCGUGCUUAACACAUGCAAGUCGGGCGGUAACAGGUGUAGCAAUACAUGCUGACGAGCGGCGAACGGGUGAGUAAUGCUUCGGAAUCUUCCUCGUAGUGGGGAAUAACCUGGGGAAACUCAGGCUAAUACCGCAUACGAACUACGGUUGAAAGCAGGGGAUCGCAAGACCUUGCGCUAUGAGAUGAGCCGAAGUCGGAUUAGCUAGUUGGUGAGGUAAAGGCUCACCAAGGCGACGAUCCGUAGCUGGUCUGAGAGGACGACCAGCCACACUGGGACUGAGACACGGCCCAGACUCCUACGGGAGGCAGCAGUGGGGAAUAUUGGACAAUGGGGGCAACCCUGAUCCAGCGACGCCGCGUGUGUGAAGAAGGCCUGCGGGUUGUAAAGCACUUUUAGUGGGGAUGAAAGCCAAGGGUUAAGUACCCUUUGGUCUUGACCUAACCCAAAGAAAAGCACCGGCUAACUCUGUGCCAGCAG
rnacentral:rRNA from 1 species